AGGUCACUAGGAGCACUGGGAGCACUGGAAUUAUACUGGGAGCACUGGGAUCAUACUGGGAUGAUACUGGGACAUUACUGGGAGCACUGGGAGGUCACUGGGAGGUUACUGGGAGCACUGGGAGGUCACUGGGAGGUCACUGGGAGGUCACUGGGAGCACUGGGAGCACUGGGAUGAUACUGGGACAUUACUGGGAUCAUACUGGGAGGUCACUGGGACGUUACUGGGAGCACUGGGAGGUCACUGGGACGUUACUGGGAGGUUACUGGGAGCACUGGGCCGAUGCCCCCUCCCCUCCCCCCAGACCGGCCGGACCCCCCCCUCUCCCUGCGGCUCUCGGGGGCCUCCGAGACCUCCCUGAGCCUCUCGUGGGAGCCCGGCUUCGAUGGCGGCCUGGCCCAGCACUUCCUGCUCCGCGCUGAAGGCCCGGACGCCCCUCCCCCACCCGCCGCUUUCAUCACUUCCGGUUUUGCCCUGACGCUGGGCGGGCUCCGCCCGGCCACGCCCUAUGACGUCAUCGUGCGCGCCCGCAACGCCCGCGGCGACAGCGACCCCGCCCGGCUGCGCGCCGUCACUUCCGGUGAGUGGGCGUGGCCCGGAAAGUUACGUCAGAGAGGUGUGGAUGGAAACAAGAUGGCGGCCGGAAGCGGAUGUUGAGGGGCGGAGCCGGAAGUGAGGGCGGGGAAACCGGAAGUGAGGUGGGGACAAACAGGAAGUGGCCGCGUUUGGCGGGAAAACCGGAACAGGAAGUUGAAGCAGGGGAAAAAACCGGAUGUGACGGUUGGGGGGUGGGCGUGGCCGGAAACGCGAGGCAGGAUGGGAUGAGAGCAGGAAGUAAACCGGAAGUGGCUGCAAAAACACCGGAAGUGGCUCCAAACCACCGGAAGUUGUUUCAAAACCACCGGAAGUGGUUGCAAACUACCGGAAGGUGCUGCUAACCACCGGAAGUGGUUGUACAUUUACCGGAAGUGGUUUCAAAACUACCGGAAGUGGCUGCAAACCACCGGAAGUGGUUUCAAAGCCGCCGGAAGUGGCUGCAAACCACCGGGAGUGGUUGCAAACAACCGGAAGUGGCGGCAAAACCACCGGAAGUGGUUGUAAACCCACCGGAAGUGUCUCCAAACCCACCGGAAGUGACGUUUCUCGCCCCUCCCAGACCCGCCCGAAGCCCCGCCCCCUCUGUGGGAGGAGCCAGGGGAGGAGGCGGCCCCUGGAGGGGGGGAGGGGACGGCCCCUCCCCCACCCGGCCUGGUCGGGGCUCUGAGCGCGCUCGGGGGGCUCCUCCUGCCUGGCCUGGGGGGGGCGCUCUGCUACU
rnacentral:lncRNA from 1 species